CAACCCUCAAGCGUAGCUGGUAUUGGGCCUUCGCUCCCUCGCCAAAGGGGGCGUGCCUGAAAAGUAGUGGCGGUCCGGUGUGACUUUGAACGUAGUAAAAUUUCAUCCGUUCUGAAAGCCUUCACGCCGUGGCCAGCCAAAACCGCCAUAUCUUCUCUAAGAUCGACCUCGGAUCAGGUAGGGAUACCCGCUGAACUUAA
rnacentral:misc_RNA from 1 species